AGGCUAGUGGCGCAAUGGAUAAGCGCGUCUGACUCGAGAUCAGAAGAUUCUGGGUUCGACUCCUGGCUAGCUCG